rnacentral:rRNA from 1 species
GAUGAACGCUGGCGGCAGGCUUAACACAUGCAAGUCGAGCGGAGUGAUGGUGCUUGCACUAUCACUUAGCGGCGGACGGGUGAGUAAUGCUUAGGAAUCUGCCUAUUAGUGGGGGACAACAUCUCGAAAGGGAUGCUAAUACCGCAUACGUCCUACGGGAGAAAGCAGGGGAUCACUUGUGACCUUGCGCUAAUAGAUGAGCCUAAGUCGGAUUAGCUAGUUGGUGGGGUAAAGGCCUACCAAGGCGACGAUCUGUAGCGGGUCUGAGAGGAUGAUCCGCCACACUGGGACUGAGACACGGCCCAGACUCCUACGGGAGGCAGCAGUGGGGAAUAUUGGACAAUGGGGGGAACCCUGAUCCUGCCAUGCCGCGUGUGUGAAGAAGGCCUUAUGGUUGUAAAGCACUUUAAGCGAGGAGGAGGCUUACCUAGUUAAUACCUGGGAUAAGUGGACGUUACUCGCAGAAUAAGCACCGGCUAACUCUGUGCCAGCCGCCGCGGUAA